GAAAUAUAGCACCGAAGCUGCGGCAUCAGUAGCAAUACUGUUGGGUAGGGGAGCGUUGUGUAAGCGGAUGAAGGUGUGUUGAGAAGCAUGCUGGACGUAUCACAAGUGCGAAUGCUGACAUAAGUAACGAUAAAACGGGUGAAAAACCCGUUCGCCGGAAGACCAAGGGUUCCUGUCCAACGUUAAUCGGGGCAGGGUGAGUCGGCCCCUAAGGCGAGGCUGAAGAGCGUAGUCGAUGGGAAACAGGUUAAUAUUCCUGUACUUGGUAAAGCUGCGAUGUGGGGACGGAGUAGGUUAGGUUAUCGCACUGUUGGAUAUGUGCGUUUAAGUUGGUAGGUGGGAAGUUUAGGCAAAUCCGGACUUCCUUAACACUGAGAGAUGAUGACGAGGCUCUACGGAGCUGAAGUAACUGAUACCACACUUCCAGGAAAAGCCACUAAGCGAAAGGCUUUACUAAACCGUACUGAAAACCGACACAGGUGGUCAGGUAGAGAAUACUCAGGCGCUUGAGAGAACUCGGGUGAAGGAACUAGGCAAAAUAGCACCGUAACUUCGGGAGAAGGUGCGCCGGCGUAGAUUGUAAGGGCUAGCCCCUGAAGGUUGAACCGGUCGAAGAUACCAGCUGGCUGCAACUGUUUAUUAAAAACACAGCACUCUGCAAACACGAAAGUGGACGUAUAGGGUGUGAUGCCUGCCCGGUGCUGGAAGGUUAAUUGAUGGUGUAAUCGAAAGAGAAGCUCCUGAUCGAAGCCCCAGUAAACGGCGGCCGUAACUAUAACGGUCCUAAGGUAGCGAAAUUCCUUGUCGGGUAAGUUCCGACCUGCACGAAUGGCAUAAUGAUGGCCAGGCUGUCUCCACCCGAGACUCAGUGAAAUUGAAAUCGCCGUGAAGAUGCGGUGUACCCGCGGCUAGACGGAAAGACCCCGUGAACCUUUACUAUAGCUUGACACUGAACAUUGAAUUUUGAUGUGUAGGAUAGGUGGGAGACUUAGAAGUAGUCACGCCAGUGAUUAUGGAGUCGUCCUUGAAAUACCACCCUUUAACGUUUGAUGUUCUAACGAAGAUUGCGGAACGCGGUCUCGGACAGUGUCUGGUGGGUAGUUUGACUGGGGCGGUCUCCUCCCAAAGAGUAACGGAGGAGCACGAAGGUUUGCUAAUCACGGUCGGACAUCGUGAGGUUAGUGCAAUGGUAUAAGCAAGCUUAACUGCGAGACAGACAAGUCGAGCAGGUACGAAAGUAGGUCAUAGUGAUCCGGUGGUUCUGAAUGGAAGGGCCAUCGCUCAACGGAUAAAAGGUACUCCGGGGAUAACAGGCUGAUACCGCCCAAGAGUUCAUAUCGACGGCGGUGUUUGGCACCUCGAUGUCGGCUCAUCACAUCCUGGGGCUGAAGUAGGUCCCAAGGGUAUGGCUGUUCGCCAUUUAAAGUGGUACGCGAGCUGGGUUUAGAACGUCGUGAGACAGUUCGGUCCCUAUCUGCCGUGGGCGUUGGAGAAUUGGUUGGGGCUGCUCCUAGUACGAGAGGACCGGAGUGGACGCACCACUGGUGUUCCGGUUGUGUCGCCAGACGCAUUGCCGGGUAGCUAAGUGCGGAAGAGAUAAGUGCUGAAAGCAUCUAAGCACGAAACUUGCCAAGAGAUGAGUUCUCCCAGAUUUAAAAUCUGUAAGGGUUGUUUAAGACUAAGACGUAGAUAGGUGCGGUGUGUAAGUGAUGUGAGUCAUUGAGCUAACGCAUACUAAUUGCCCGAGAGGCUUAACUAUACAACGCUCAAG
rnacentral:rRNA from 1 species